rnacentral:lncRNA from 1 species
UCGGUGGGGCCAUCAGUGGGUUCAAUGGGAUCAAUGGGGUCAGUAGGGCCAUUAAUACGGUCAGUGGGGUCAGUGGGGUCAAUGGGGUCAAUAGGGCCAUCAAUGGGGUAAAUGGGGUAAAUAGGGUCAGUAGGGCCAUCAAUAGGGUCAAUGGGGUCAGUGGGGUCAAUGGGGUCAGUAGGGCCAUCAAUGGGGUAAAUGGGGUCAAUGGGGCCAACAAUGGGGUCAGUGGAGCCAAAAUGGGGUCAGUGGGGUCAAUGGGGUCAGUAGGCCCAUCAAUAGGGUCAGUGGGGUCAAUGGGGCCAUCAGUGGGGCCAUCAAUGGGUUNNNNNNNNNNNNNNNNNNNNNNNNNNNNNNNNGGUCAGUGGGGCCAUCAAUGGGGUCAGUAGGGCCAUCAAUAGGAUCAAUGGGGUCAGUGGGGUUAGUGGGGCCAUCAAUAGGAUCUAUGGGGUCAAUGGGGUCAAUAGGUCCAUCAAUGGGGUCAAUGGGGUCAAUGGGGCCAACAAUGGGGUCAGUGGAGCCAACAUGGGGUCAGUGGGGUCAAUGGGGUGAGUGGGGCCAUUAAUGGGGUCAGUAGGGCCAUCAAUGGGGUCAGUGGGGUCAAUAGGGCCAUCAAUGGGGUCAGUGGGGUCAGUGGGGCCGUUACCUGCAGGGGGAAUUCGGGGCUGUGUGGAGCCACGGCGGCGCUGAGAUCCCGCAGGCGCUGGCGCAGUUCGGGGCCGUCGCACUGUAGGGCCGAGCAGGCGGCCGACACCAGGGCCAGCUGUGGGGUUAUGGGGUCAGUGGGGUCAAGGGGGGCAGAGGGGUCAGUGGGGGCAAUGGGGGCAAUGGGGGAAUUGGGGGCAGAGGGGGAAUUGGGGUCAAUGGGGUCUAUGGGGU